GACGAACGCUGGCGGCGUGCUUAACACAUGCAAGUCGAGCGGAAAGGCCCUGCUUUUGUGGGGUGCUCGAGUGGCGAACGGGUGAGUAACACGUGAGUAACCUGCCCUUGACUUUGGGAUAACUUCAGGAAACUGGGGCUAAUACCGGAUAGGAGCUCCUGCUGCAUGGUGGGGGUUGGAAAGUUUCGGCGGUUGGGGAUGGACUCGCGGCUUAUCAGCUUGUUGGUGGGGUAGUGGCUUACCAAGGCUUUGACGGGUAGCCGGCCUGAGAGGGUGACCGGCCACAUUGGGACAGAGAUACGGCCCAGACUCCUACGGGAGGCAGCAGUGGGGAAUAUUGCACAAUGGGCGGAAGCCUGAUGCAGCAACGCCGCGUGCGGGAUGACGGCCUUCGGGUUGUAAACCGCUUUCGCCUGUGACGAAGCGUGAGUGACGGUAAUGGGUAAAGAAGCACCGGCUAACUACGUG
rnacentral:rRNA from 1 species